GACAGAGGAUGCAAGCGUUGUCCGGAUUUAUUGGGUUUAAAGGGUGCGUAGGCGGCUGAUUAAGUCUGGGGUGAAAGCCCGUUGCUCAACAACGGAACUGCCCUGGAAACUGGUUAGCUUGAGUACAGACGAGGGUGGCGGAAUGGAUGCUGUAGCGGUGAAAUGCAUAGAUAGCAUCCAGAACCCCCGAUUGCGAAGCAGCUGCCUAGACCUUGUAA
rnacentral:rRNA from 1 species